rnacentral:misc_RNA from 1 species
AAAGUCGUAACAAGGUUUCCGUAGGUGAACCUGCGGAAGGAUCAUUAUCGAGUGAGGGUCCUCUGGGCCCCAUCUCCAACCCGUGUAUACUAUACCUGUUGCUUCGGCGGGCCCGUCCUUGACUGGACCGCCUGGGAUCAUCGUCCCCGGCCAGCGCCCGCCGGUAGCCCCCCUCAACUCUUAAUGUGUUGUCUGAGUCCACGAUUAAUAAGCACAAAAACUUUCAACAACGGAUCUCUUGGUUCUG